ACUCUAAAGGAAACAUAUGGAUACCGAACACUUAGUAUUCAGACGAUUUUUUCUCUUAUCCAUUGCAUCAUAGAGAGGACAUUUAUGUCAUGCUGUUAGCUCUAAUCACCUAUAGAAAAAACUUGGCCAGCGAUACAUGGCUUCCUGUUUCCCAGCUGUGUUUUCCAACUGUUCCUUCUGCUAAGGUAUUUUUGGGGGUAUAACAGUCUGGCUUGGCCUUGCAACUUUUGGCCAAUGGAAUGUGGCAGAGUGACAGCAUUCCAGAUCUGAGCCUAAGCCUCAUAAGGCAUGGCACACUUCUGUUCUCUCACUUGGACCUCUUAGAUCGUCAUGAAAAGACACCCAGGCUGGUCUCCUGGAUGAAGUGAUGUGUGAAAUGGAGCCAAUAGUCUAAGCUGAGGGUAUCUUACAUCAGCCAACAGCCAGCUGACUGUCAGACAUGUCAGUGUGCCUAAGCCAAGCCCAGAACUUCUUUGCCAAGCCUACUGAAGAUCUUUUAUCUUCUACUCAUCAACAAAAUUAAUGCCUUCGUGUCUGUGAUAAUUUGAGUUAC